GAGCAUGGGUGGUUAUAUAGACCAUCCAAGGUCAUGUACAAAAAUGAGCUGACUGGUCUACAUGGGAUUCGAUUCCUCCAGGCAUUUCCAGAGCACCCACUAUGUGUCAGACCUAAUGCUACACUUCACUUACAUGGAUACGCUGUUCCUGUCACAGGUGUCCAACACUCACAGCCUUCCAGUGAUUCUUUGGUUUUGGCAGGAGUGAAACAAGGAAAAGUUAGCAGUUUGGAGGAAGCUAAAUUAGACCUUCCUGAAGAAGACCUAACAGCCAGAGUAAAUAUAGAGUCAGUUCACCAGCACACCAGUGUGACUUCUCCUUAGCUGGGUGACCUCAGGGUGACCUUGAAGAAGGCUAUCACUGAAAGUCAUUCUGAACCUCUGUCUUCCCAUCUGAAAGGGGACAAUGAUAGUUCUCACCUCGCAGCAUUGUAGUGGA